UGAAGGAAUGGUCCACACUUAACUGGGU
rnacentral:piRNA from 1 species